rnacentral:rRNA from 1 species
AUGACGGCCUUCGGGUUGUAAACCUCUUUCAGCAGGGACCAAGCGAGAGUGAGUGUACCUGCAGAAGAAGCACCGGCUAACUACGUGC